rnacentral:sRNA from 1 species
AAGUAUCUUCUGGCUAGGAAACCACAUCCUUUCACCAAAGGAUUUAGCUCUUCUAUGGUUCAACAUGAAAUUAUGUUAAUUCUAUUGACAUCUUUUCUACCUCCAAACAAUAAUUCUAGCCCCAGGCAUUAUGACUUCCUCCAACGAAAAAAAAAAAAAAAAAAAAAAAAACCCCGAAGUAUCAAUGUAAUAAUAAAUAUCCAACAAGCCCAAUCGCAAUGUCUCCAUCCAAAUACGAACAAGGAAAAAAAAUCAAAUUAAAUCAAAUCAAAAUAAAAUAAGAGAUAUAAACCAUAACGACCAACAUCAUCUAGAAAUCACGGAAUUCUCGAUCCACCUCCUCAAAAUAAUCAAAGAAUCCCUUAAACAACUGGACACCAAGUCCAGGAUCCAUGUUCCCCGUCGUUGCACGGAUGCUAUGCAUACUCAGUUGAGGAAUACCAGCAUCGAUCGCCCUUAUUCCAAUCCG